UGGGGAAUAUUGGACAAUGGGCGAAAGCCUGAUCCAGCCAUGCCGCGUGUGUGAAGAAGGUCUUCGGAUUGUAAAGCACUUUAAGUUGGGAGGAAGGGCAUUAACCUAAUACGUUAGUGUUUUGACGUUACCGACAGAAUAAGCACCGGCUAACUCUGUGCCAGCAGCCGCGGUAAUACAGAGGGUGCAAGCGUUAAUCGGAAUUACUGGGCGUAACGCGCGCGUAGGUGGUUUGUUAAGUUGGAUGUGAAAUCCCCGGGCUCAACCUGGGAACUGCAUUCAAAACUGACUGACUAGAGUAUGGUAGAGGGUGGUGGAAUUUCCUGUGUAGCGGUGAAAUGCGUAGAUAUAGGAAGGAACACCAGUGGCGAAGGCGACCACCUGGACUAAUACUGACACUGAGGUGCGAAAGCGUGGGGAGCAAACA
rnacentral:rRNA from 1 species